rnacentral:rRNA from 1 species
UACGUAGGGGGCAAGCGUUGUCCGGAAUCAUUGGGCGUAAAGCGCGUGUAGGCGGCCUUGUAAGUCCGUUCUGAAAGCCCGGGGCUCAACCCCGGGAGGCGGAUGGAUACUGCAAGGCUCGAGUACGGAAGAGGCGAGUGGAAUUCCCGGUGUAGCGGUGAAAUGCGCAGAUAUCGGGAGGAACACCGGUGGCGAAGGCGACGUGCUGGGUUGCGACUGACGCUGAGAUGCGAAAGUGUGGGGAGCAAACGGG